AGUGAACGCUGGCGGUAGGCCUAACACAUGCAAGUCGAACGGCAGCACAGUAAGAGCUUGCUCUUGCGGGUGGCGAGUGGCGGACGGGUGAGGAAUACAUCGGAAUCUACUUUUUCGUGGGGGAUAACGUAGGGAAACUUACGCUAAUACCGCAUACGACCUACGGGUGAAAGCAGGGGAUCUUCGGACCUUGCGCGAUUGAAUGAGCCGAUGUCGGAUUAGCUAGUUGGCGGGGUAAAGGCCCACCAAGGCGACGAUCCGUAGCUGGUCUGAGAGGAUGAUCAGCCACACUGGAACUGAGACACGGUCCAGACUCCUACGGGAGGCAGCAGUGGGGAAUAUUGGACAAUGGGCGCAAGCCUGAUCCAGCCAUACCGCGUGUGUGAAGAAGGCCUUCGGGUUGUAAAGCCCUUUUGUUGGGAAAGAAAAGCAGCAGGUUAAUACCCCGCUGUUCUGACGGUACCCAAAGAAUAAGCACCGGCUAACUUCGUG
rnacentral:rRNA from 1 species